AACAACUCGAGGGCGGAGGCCAGGGAACUGCCGCCCGGCUUUACGUAACUUGACCCACAGGCGGGCGGCGGCAGGUGGCUGCACCCGGCGAGCAAGGUGCUCGAAGCCCCGAGAACGCAGGACGCCGCUCGGGCAGCGAGACGGCCGGGAAGCACGAGAGGCCGGGGAGCGGCGGCGGCGGCCUCCUUACCUUUCCAGAUGCCCAGAGAGAGCUGGGACGUGUCCAAGUCCACCACAUAGUCCCCCAAGAACCGGUUCAACACGUCCACGACCACCGACUCGAAAACCAUGUUCCUCAGCCGUGGUGGGCACGGCAGCCGGCCCGUGCGCUCCUCCUCCCGCCGCCUUCCCCACGCCCCUCCCUCGAGAGUAACACGCUUCCCUGCAGAUAAGAGUUGGAGUCAGCCGGUCUGGAAACUGCUGAACACCCUCCAAGAAAUACUGGGAGUGCUGGACCCUUGACCCCUAUGCCUCCACCGAACCACUGACCUAAAAUAAAUUACAAUUACAGAUCUUUCG
rnacentral:lncRNA from 1 species